CCCAUUAGUUUUAUCGAAACGUCUGCAUAUUUGUAGCGUAAAAAAUCGAUAAUUGGUAAUCGCCCCAUCAAUGAAAAAAAUUGACAGCUGGGAAUUUGCUAUUUGUUUUGUUUUGGUUUGGUUUUCUUUCUGCAGCUAAAAGCUUUAUUAAAGCACUGCUGCGGAAACAUUUGAAGGAUGAGUUUCUAAAUUUCUUAAAGGUACGGGUGACCUGAAUGGACGGCUUUGUUUUUAUAACAUUACAUAUUUGUUAUUGAGCUGCAAUAGUUGCAACAGGGCACGUUGUGUUCUAAAAACAUCCUUUUGAAAUACCCCACACCCCAGUGUUAUACAGCGUGUGAAUCAUCUGGAAUUGAGAAAACGUCGGGACAGCUCAGCUCGGAAAUUUGCAAGAAGUAACCUAAUUCAAACCCAAAUUAUUAAUAAGUUGGUGCACAGGAAUAGUAUUUUUUUUCUUUUAAAUACAUCGUAGACUCUUGUCUACAAGUGUAUGUAAAAGUUUUUGAUUCGGGUCACGCGUUUGGGCACAGCGAUCCAAAAUCGUUCUACAAAUAAUUUACCGUACCCAAAUCAUUUGCAAAAUACUAUCAAGCAACAGGAACAACAAACAGGAUCACUGCAUAAGCUCUUAGCAACAACACCAAGUGAAGCUCGUCGACUUACAUAACAGAAUAAAAAUGCAAGAUUCCAGUAUAAGUUCAGCGCUUGCAAAAUACCGAUUUCCUGUUUCCUGGAUAAAGAAUUGUACGUGAAGAAUGGUCAGUUAGUCGGCACAGUACAACAAGCAGUAUUAAGAUCGGCUCAAUGUCUUACAUAAAUAACUACAGGGCUAAUUUCAUGUUCCCCAAAGAUUCGAGAUUACUUAUUUGCAUUGCAUGUACAAAAACAUUUACGUCUACAAGAAGAUAUGAAAAUUGCUUUACACGGUAUGUAUUUGCAAGUUCUUUGAAAACGAAAUAAACCUAACACAAAAGAAUCUAUCUCUAUGGCAGAUGGAAAUUAAAUUUCACGUUUCUAGUUCGUCUGUACGUGCAUCUGCUUUGUGCAUGUAUGCCUUUCCAUAUGUAAAAAGUAGCAUUUACAGAUGCAAACGCAUGUCGUGUAAAAUCACUUUAACAAACA
rnacentral:lncRNA from 1 species